UUGGUGUUUGAUGAUGAUCUGCCCUUGUGGAGCAUCCUUAUGGCUGGUACUUACAAAGGAUGGGAAGCAAGAAUCUCCUCUUCCUAUGAGCUUCAUGUGCACUGGGGCAUGAACUGUACCAUGAAAGGGAGAAAGAAGAAGAGCUUCGACUUAAGGGAGAGGAUGAGAGGGUUUUACGGUAAGAAAAGGAAGUAGAGCCAAGGAUGGGUCACUCAAACCUAGGUCACAUGGUCCCAUGUGGCCAUAUUUGUACAGAGCUGUUCUUUUAUGAUGUUCUAAGAUUCUACCAAGUGCUACCAAAAAGCAAAGAACAGUUAGGACAUUAGAUCUCUGUUGCAACUGCCUGUGUUGUGUGAAUGUUUAUAUGUGUGAAUAUACGUAUAUGUGUGUGAAUAUGUGUGUGAGAGCAUGUGUCAGUGUGUACACAUGUGUGACUAUAUGUGGUAUGUGUGACUAUGUAUAGUAUAUGUGUGUGAGUGUGUUAUGUGAGUGUGUGGUGUGCUUGCAUGUGUGCCUGUGUAUGUGUAUUGUGUAUGUGAGUAUGUGGUAUGUAUGUAUGUGCAUGUAUAUGAGUGAUGUGUGUAUUAGUGGUAUGUGUGAGUGGUAUGUGUGUGUAUGUGUGUGGGGAUAUGUAUGUGUGUGUGGUGUGUAAAUGUGUGUGCAUAUGGUGGGUAUAUGUAUGUGUGUGUGAGUGGUGCGUGGUGCCUAUGCGAGUGUGUGGUAGGUGUCUAUGUGACUGGUGUAUGUAUGUUAGUGGUGUGUGUGUAUGUGUGUUGGUGUGUGUG
rnacentral:lncRNA from 1 species